rnacentral:rRNA from 1 species
GACGAACGCUGGCGGCGUGCCUAAUACAUGCAAGUCGAACGCAGUGGGGACGGGUGAGUAACACGUGGGUAACCUCCCAUCAGAGGGGAUAAAACUUGGAAACAGGUGCUAAACCGAUACUGAUGGAUGGACCCGCGGUGAAUUAGCUAGUUGGUGAGGUAACGGCUCACCAAGGCAACGAUGCAUAGCGUACCUUAGAGGGUGAACUGCCACAAUGGGAUGUCGCAACGGCCCAGACUCCUACGGGAGGCAGCAGUAGGGAAUCUUCGGCAAUGGACGAAAGUCUGAACGAGCAACGCCGCGUGAGUGAAGAAGGUUUUCGGAUCGUAAAACUCUGUUGUUAGAGAAGCGGUAUCUAACCAGAAAGCCACGGCUAACUACGUGCCAGCAGCCGCGGUAAUUC